GCAUUUCACAUCGAUCUCGCCUAA
rnacentral:siRNA from 1 species